AGACUUGUGUAGAGUGGGUUUUAGCCCGGCUUAGGGCUAAAUCUUUAGGGAGAGAUUGAACACAUUAGGAAGAAUUCAUGCUGGUCGCCAUGUAGAAGCAGCAGUUGGGCCAGCCCUUCUGCUUGCUGACCCUAGGAAUAUAGUUCUUUGGGGAGGUGACCCCUCUGCUGCUCCUGGAGAGAUGGGAGAGCUGGAGGCAGAGCCCACCCAUAGUUCUUCAGCCCCUUUGCUCUUAGGGAUUCGGUGUGGGGUCAGCCGCUUCAUCUUUGUGCUGGCAACAGAGUAAGUGCCCUCCUAAGGAUGUGUAUUUAAUACAAUCUGGAAGAAGUAUUUUGUGUUCUGUCUCCCAGGGCUUCAGAGUUCCAGUCCUGGGUGCACAUGUUGGCUAAGUCCUGGUGACCUGUGAUGCUGCUGAGAAGCAUCAAUCAGUUCAUCUUGUGAUUAGUGCUUAACAUUGUGUAAGAGAAAUUAAACUGGAAUAUCAGACUUGGGGAGUUCUCUUUUUAAGCCACCUCCUUCCCAUUUGUAUCCUCAGCCGUUCAAGAAGAAAGAUCUUGAUUAAAAUGUGCAUGGUUUUUCAC
rnacentral:lncRNA from 1 species